GUACCUACGGGACGCAGCAGUAGGGAAUCUUCCACAAUGGGCGAAAGCCUGAUGGAGCAACGCCGCGUGAAGGAAGAAGGCUUUCGGGUUGUAAACUUCUUUUGUCAGGGACGAAGCAAGUGACGGUACCUGACGAAUAAGCCACGGCUAACUACGUGCCAGCAGCCGCGGUAAUACGUAGGUGGCAAGCGUUAUCCGGAUUUACUGGGUGUAAAGGGCGUGUAGGCGGGACUGCAAGUCAGAUGUGAAAACCACGGGCUCAACCUGUGGCCUGCAUUUGAAACUGUAGUUCUUGAGUACUGGAG
rnacentral:rRNA from 1 species